GAACGGGUGAGUAACACGUGGGUGAUCUGCCCUGCACUUUGGGAUAAGCCUGGGAAACUGGGUCUAAUACCGAAUAGGACCACGCGCUUCAUGGUGUGUGGUGGAAAGCUUUUGCGGUGUGGGAUGGGCCCGCGGCCUAUCAGCUUGUUGGUGGGGUAAUGGCCUACCAAGGCGACGACGGGUAGCCGGCCUGAGAGGGUGACCGGCCACACUGGGACUGAGAUACGGCCCAGACUCCUACGGGAGGCAGCAGUGGGGAAUAUUGCACAAUGGGCGCAAGCCUGAUGCAGCGACGCCGCGUGAGGGAUGACGGCCUUCGGGUUGUAAACCUCUUUCAAUAGGGACGAAGCGCAAGUGACGGUACCUAUAGAAGAAGCACCGGCCAACUACGUGCCAGCAGCCGCGGUAAUACGUAGGGUGCGAGCGUUGUCCGGAAUUACUGGGCGUAAAGAGCUCGUAGGUGGUUUGUCGCGUUGUUCGUGAAAACUCACAGCUUAACUGUGGGCGUGCGGGCGAUACGGGCAGACUAGAGUACUGCAGGGGAGACUGGAAUUCCUGGUGUAGCGGUGGAAUGCGCAGAUAUCAGGAGGAACACCGGUGGCGAAGGCGGGUCUCUGGGCAGUAACUGACGCUGAGGAGCGAAAGCGUGGGGAGCGAACAGGAUUAGAUACCCUGGUAGUCCACGCCGUAAACGGUGGGUACUAGGUGUGGGUUCCUUCCUUGGGAUCCGUGCCGUAGCUAACGCAUUAAGUACCCCGCCUGGGGAGUACGGCCGCAAGGCUAAAACUCAAAGGAAUUGACGGGGGCCCGCACAAGCGGCGGAGCAUGUGGAUUAAUUCGAUGCAACGC
rnacentral:rRNA from 1 species